rnacentral:lncRNA from 1 species
CAUCACCUCCGCCUCCAGUUCACUCCCCACCACCACCAGUCCAUCUUCUCCACCACCAGUGGCAUCACCUCCGCCUCCAGUUCACUCCCCACCACCACCAGUCCAUUCUCCUCCACCACCAGUGGCAUCCCUUCCGCCUCCAGUUCAUUCGCCACCUCCUCCAGUUCACUCACCACCACCACCACCAGUUCAUUCCCCACCUCUUCCAGUUCAUUCUCCACCGCCACCAGUUCACUCACCACCACCUCCAGUCUUUUCUCCUCCUCCACCGGUCUACUCCCCACCUCCACCUAAACCUGUUCAAUCACCACCUCCUGCUCCAUUGGCAUCUCCCCCUCCACCUGUUUUCGAGGAUGUUAUCCUUCCUCCAAACUUGGGAUCAAUUUACGCAUCACCACCACCACCAAUUUUCCCUGGUUACUAAAGGGGAUGCAUUACUAACAUCUCUCUUAUUCAUCUUGACAAACAUUGUUAGUUCAAAGAAAUAUGUAUACAUCAACGUUUAAAUAUACACAAUCA